rnacentral:tRNA from 1 species
AAACAAGAAACAUUAGUGUUAUGGUUUCGGCCCAUAAAAAGGCAAAAUUCUUGCCCUUGUUUU